UACGAAGGGGGCUAGCGUUGUUCGGAAUUACUGGGCGUAAAGCGUGUGUAGGUGGUUGUCAUAGUCAGGUGUGAAAGCCUUGAGCUCAACUCAAGAAAUGCACUUGAUACUGGGCAGCUAGAGGACCGGAGAGGAUAGUGGAAUUCCCAGUGUAGUGGUGAAAUACGUAGAGAUUGGGAAGAACACCAGUGGCGAAGGCGGCUAUCUGGACGGUUUCUGACACUAAGACACGAAAGCGUGGGGAGCAAACAGG
rnacentral:rRNA from 1 species